UACGUAGGGGGCUAGCGUUGUCCGGAAUCAUUGGGCGUAAAGAGCGUGUAGGCGGCCCGGUAAGUCCGCUGUAAAAGUCAAAGGCUCAACCCUUGAAAGCCGGUUGAUACUGUCGGGCUAGAGUCCGGAAGAGGCGAGUGGAAUUCCCGGUGUAGCGGUGAAAUGCGCAGAUAUCAGGAAGAACACCCGUGGCGAAGGCGGCUCUCUGGAACGCAACUGACGCUGAGACGCGAAAGCGUGGGGAGCAAACAGG
rnacentral:rRNA from 1 species